rnacentral:rRNA from 1 species
GUGUCAGCAGCCGCGGUAAUACCGGCAGCACGAGUGAUGACCGCUAUUAUUGGGCCUAAAGCGUCCGUAGCUGGCCGUGCAAGUCCAUCGGGAAAUCCGCGCGCUUAACGCGCGGGCGUCCGGUGGAAACUGCAUGGCUUGGGACCGGAAGACCAGAGGGGUACGUCCGGGGUAGGAGUGAAUUCCCGUAAUCCUGGACGGACCACCGGUGGCGAAAGCGCCUCUGGAAGACGGAUACGACGGUGAGGGACGAAAGCUCGGGUCACGAACCGGAUUAGAUACCCCUGUAGUCC